ACGGAACAAAAGAGCUUGCUCUUUUGUUUAGUGGCGAACGGGUGAGUAACGCGUGAGCAACCUGCCUUUCAGAGGGGGACAACAGUUGGAAACGACUGCUAAUACCGCAUAACAUUGUGAAGUCGCAUGGCUUUACAAUCAAAGAUUUAUCGCUGAAAGAGGGGCUCGCGUCCGAUUAGAUAGUUGGUGAGGUAAUGGCUCACCAAGUCGACGAUCGGUAGCCGGACUGAGAGGUUGAACGGCCACAUUGGGACUGAGAUACGGCCCAGACUCCUACGGGAGGCAGCAGUGGGGGAUAUUGCACAAUGGGGGAAACCCUGAUGCAGCAAUGCCGCGUGAGGGAAGAAGGUCUUCGGAUUGUAAACCUUUGUUUUUAGUGACGAAACAAAUGACGGUAGCUAAAGAGGAAGCUCCGGCUAACUACGUGCCAGCAGCCGCGGUAAUACGUAGGGAGCGAGCGUUGUCCGGAUUUACUGGGUGUAAAGGGUGCGCAGGCGGGAAUGUAAGUUGGAUGUGAAAUGCAGAGGCUCAACCUCUGACCUGCAUCCAAAACUACGUUUCUUGAGUGAAGUAGAGGUAGGCGGAAUUCCGAGUGUAGCGGUGAAAUGCGUAGAUAUUCGGAGGAACACCAGUGGCGAAG
rnacentral:rRNA from 1 species